rnacentral:rRNA from 1 species
CCUACGGGAGGCAGCAGUAGGGAAUAUUGCUCAAUGGGGGAAACCCUGAAGCAGCAACGCCGCGUGGAGGAUGAAGGUUUUCGGAUUGUAAACUCCUUUUGUUAGAGAGGAUAAUGACGGUAUCUAACGAAUAAGCACCGGCUAACUCCGUGCCAGCAGCCGUGGUAAUACGGAGGGUGCCAGCGUUACUCGGAGUCAGUGGGCGUAAUGAGCGCGUAGGCGGGAUAGCAAGUCAGAUGUGAAAUCCUAUGGCUUAACCAUAGAACUGCAUUUGAAACUGUUAUUCUAGAGGAUGGGAGAGGUAGGUGGAAUUCUUGGUGUAGGGGUAAAAUCCGUAGAAAUCAAGAGGAAUACUCAUUGCGAAGGCGACCUGCUAGAACAUAACUGACGCUGAUGCGCGAAAGCGUGGGGAGCAAACAGGAUUAGAUACCCCUGUAGUC